rnacentral:rRNA from 1 species
UGGGGAAUAUUGCGCAAUGGGGGGAACCCUGACGCAGCCAUGCCGCGUGAAUGAAGAAGGCCUUAGGGUUGUAAAGUUCUUUCGGUAUUGAGGAAGGUUGAUGUGUUAAUAGCACAUCAAAUUGACGUUAAAUACAGAAGAAGCACCGGCUAACUCCGUGCCAGCAGCCGCGGUAAUACGGAGGGUGCGAGCGUUAAUCGGAAUAACUGGGCGUAAAGGGCACGCAGGCGGUUAUUUAAGUGAGGUGUGAAAGCCCCGGGCUUAACCUGGGAAUUGCAUUUCAGACUGGGUAACUAAAGUACUUUAGGGAGGGGUAGAAUUCCACGUGUAGCGGUGAAAUGCGUAGAGAUGUGGAGGAAUACCGAAGGCGAAGGCAGCCCCUUGGGAAUGUACUGACGCUCAUGUGCGAAAGCGUGGGGAGCAAACAGGAUUAGAUACCCUGGUAGUCCACGCUGUAAACGCUGUCGAUUUGGGGGUUGGGGUUUAACUCUGGCGCCCGUAGCUAACGUGAUAAAUCGACCGCCUGGGGAGUACGGCCGCAAGGUUA